UACAGAGGUCUCAAGCGUUGUUCGGAUUCAUUGGGCGUAAAGGGUGUGUAGGUGGCGCGCUAAGUCGGGUGUGAAAUUUCGGAGCUUAACUCCGAAACUGCAUUCGAUACUGGCGUGCUUGAGGACUGGAGAGGAGACUGGAAUUCAUGGUGUAGCAGUGAAAUGCGCAGAUAUCGGGAAGAACACCCGUGGCGAAGGCGGCUCACUGGCCCCGGUACUGACGCUGAGGUGCGAAAGCG
rnacentral:rRNA from 1 species